GAACUACAUCUGGGAGCAAGGAAAGGAUUCGAGGGAUGGACGAAUGUUUGGAAUUCCGUUAUAAUGAACAUUGUUUCGAACAGAACGUGAUUUAUCAAUUUAAUUCAGAGAUCUACUAAACGUGUAACUUUACAUUUUGAUUGUACCUUUGAGCUUUGGCUAAAUUUGAUCAUGGCUUCUUCGCCGUCCUCUCCCAAAUCGCCGACGACUCCGAAAUCUCCCUCUUCCAGAAAAAAAAUGACUCGUUCCUGGGAAAACUUGGAGGAACUUUAGUAAGAAGAAAGAACGGAAAAGAAGAGAACCUGGAGGGGGAGAAGUUGAACGUGGCUGAGGUGACCCAGUCGUAGAUCGCCCAGAAGCUGGAGACUCCAUCAAGAUCUCCGCCAGGAGCAUCAAAUGGAACGUGGACUCUGUACAUGCUAAGAGUAUAGUGGCCAUUCUUCACCUGUUGAUGGCGCUGU